CAACCCUCAGGCCCCCGGGCCUGGCGUUGGGGAUCGGCGGAGCCCCCCGUGGGCACACGCCGUCCCCCAAAUACAGUGGCGGUCCCGCCGCAGCUUCCAUCGCGUAGUAGCUAACACCUCGCGACUGGAGAGCGGCGCGGCCACGCCGGAAAACACCCAACUCUUCUGAAG
rnacentral:misc_RNA from 1 species